AAAUUGAAGAGUUUGAUCAUGGCUCAGAUUGAACGCUGGCGGCAGGCCUAACACAUGCAAGUCGAGCGGAAACGAGUUAUCUGAACCUUCGGGGAACGAUAACGGCGUCGAGCGGCGGACGGGUGAGUAAUGCCUAGGAAAUUGCCCUGAUGUGGGGGAUAACCAUUGGAAACGAUGGCUAAUACCGCAUGAUGCCUACGGGCCAAAGAGGGGGACCUUCGGGCCUCUCGCGUCAGGAUAUGCCUAGGUGGGAUUAGCUAGUUGGUGAGGUAAGGGCUCACCAAGGCGACGAUCCCUAGCUGGUCUGAGAGGAUGAUCAGCCACACUGGAACUGAGACACGGUCCAGACCCCUACGGGAGGCAGCAGUGGG
rnacentral:rRNA from 1 species